UAGGGAAUCUUCCGCAAUGGGGGCGCAAGCCUGAUGGAGCAACGCCGCGUGAGUGAAGAAGGUCUUCGGAUCGUAAAACUCUGUUGUUAGAGAAGAACAUGCGAGAGAGUAACUGUUCUUGUAUUGACGGUAUCUAACCAGAAAGCCACGGCUAACUACGUGCCAGCAGCCGCGGUAAUACGUAGGUGGCAAGCGUUGUCCGGAUUUAUUGGGCGUAAAGGGAACGCAGGCGGUCCUUUAAGUCUGAUGUGAAAGCCUUCGGCUUAACCGAAGAAUUGCAUUGGAAACUGGAGGACUUGAGUGCAGAAGAGGAGAGUGGAACUCCAUGUGUAGCGGUGAAAUGCGUAGAUAUAUGGAAGAACACCAGUGGCGAAAGCGGCUCUCUGGUCUGUAACU
rnacentral:rRNA from 1 species